rnacentral:rRNA from 1 species
UUUAAUUGAAGAGUUUGAUCAUGGCUCAGAUUGAACGCUGGCGGCAGGCCUAACACAUGCAAGUCGAACGGUAACAGC